CCGGCGGGGGGGAGCCUGCGGGCUCGAGCUCCGUCAGACUGGGCGGCUCGCCAGCCUCGGGGAGGAGCUGAGCUGCUGCAGGACGCAGCCCUGCCGCUGAGGCUCCGUCUCUACUCCCGGGCAUCCCUCCCAGGCCUCUGCUGCGAGCUGCAGGCCAGGCCCAGCCAUUGCAACUGCCCCGCUGGGGGGGCGAGGGUGUCUCCUCCCACCCGUAGCUAUGGGACCCGGGCCCCACAGCUGUGUUAACUCGCCCGCUCGGCGGGGGCGGGGGCGGGGGCGGGCCUGAGGUUUUCCAAGGGCCGGGGCAGGGAGACGUUACGGGCCAUUGAGUCGGGUUUCCCUUUGCAGAGCCCCCCCCCCCCCCAGUCCCGCAGGGGGUGAUGGCAGGAGAGGGCUAAGAUCAGGCAAGCGCGGGUUCCCCUCUGACACUUUGUAUGAAUGUUUCCCAGGCACAACAGAAGCACGUCGGCUGAUCCCCCUCCAACGCGCGUAAAGACAAGCGAUAAUAUCCAGGGGGAGAAUAUCAGGAGAACAGAGCCUCAAACCCACCUGACUCCACUAUUUCUUCUCCAAAUAGUGAUUGUGAUGAGGAGAAAAUUGUGAAGAAGCGAAUGGGUGCAAUUGGGAAACUUACCCAGAGUCCAUGACAAUGUGUCUGUCUAAUGAACUACCCUGGCUGUUGUGUGAGAACCAUUUUGGUUUUAUUACUGGUGGUGAUACUACUUUUCAACCUUGGAAGCUGUCCUCUGCCUUGGAAGAUUCAGGAGAAAGACUGGUAGCUAUAGAGCACCUAUGAUGGGGAUAUCCCUCCUAUAUUGUGGAAAGAAUAUAAGAUGAGCUUCACAAUUUCAUUAUGGUCGCUUUCAUAUGCAGGAAGCUUUUCAGUUUAAGAGAAAAUCUGAAUGUCACUUUCAUAUAACACAAACAUUGUAAAAGCAAUAUCUGUGUAUCAGCAUUUCAAUGUGUAUUUUAAAGGGCUUCUAAUGUGAGGAAAAACACGCAAUGACAAGUGUGGAAAAGAGCAAGCACUAAAUUACUGUCAGAAAAAUAAACGCAGUAGCGCUGCUGCACGGUGAUUUACGGGGGCAAUUAGCCACAACCCCACAGAGCUGCUGAGGACAGCACUGCUGCCUGCAGAAGUGUCAGGCAAAGAGGAAGAGGAGCUUUGGCUUUGCCUUUCCAGACAACUUUUAACAAAACUAGAGGGUGAUGGGGAAGGGGGGGCAGCAUAUGCUGUAGCACGUCCUUGUUCCGUGUGCACCUAACCCUUCCCACCCACCCCCAAAAUUGACUCCCACCCAAAGUGUAUUGAGCACGGCAGUCACCUGCGGUGUGGCUGUGAGAGGGGCGCUCCAGCUGCAAAGCUCUCCUGGUGCCCAGGCAAAGUUGUAUUUUUAAAUCCCCACUCCGCCUCCCCAGUGAUCCUUCCCCGCUGGGCCUUGUCGCCUCACAACUUGCAGCCACGGGCUUCGCAUUAAAAAAAAUAAAAAUCUCCGUGGAGUUUGUGUUCUAGGAAUCUGGAGUAGUCUGCAAAUCUGCUUGUUCAUCACCGGGGCCAAGCUGGCGAGCAGGUGCCGAGGGUGAUUAAAGAGACUGCAGAAUAAAGGUUAAAUGAAAAAUCCUCUCAAAGAG